rnacentral:rRNA from 1 species
AGUGAACGCUGGCGGUAGGCCUAACACAUGCAAGUCGAACGGCAGCACAGUAAGAGCUUGCUCUUACGGGUGGCGAGUGGCGGACGGGUGAGGAAUACAUCGGAAUCUACUUUUUCGUGGGGGAUAACGUAGGGAAACUUACGCUAAUACCGCAUACGACCUACGGGUGAAAGCAGGGGAUCUUCGGACCUUGCGCGAUUGAAUGCGCCGAUGUCGGAUUAGCUAGUUGGCGGGGUAAAGGCCCACCAAGGCGACAAUCCGUAGCUGGUCUGAGAGGAUGAUCAGCCACACUGGAACUGAGACACGGUCCAGACGCCUACGGGAGGCAGCAGUGGGGAAUAUUGGACAAUGGGCGCAAGCCUGAUCCAGCCAUACCGCGUGGGUGAAGAAGGCCUUCGGGUUGUAAAGCCCUUUUGUUGGGAAAGAAAAGCAGCAGGUUAAUACCCCGCUGUUCUGACGGUACCCAAAGAAUAAGCACCGGCUAACUUCGUG